AACGAACGCUGGCGGCGUGCCUAACACAUGCAAGUCGAGCGAGAAAGCCCGCAGGGGUGAGUAAAGCGGCGCACGGGUGCGUAACACGUGGGUAAUCUGCCCUGAGGUCCGGAAUAACUCGCCGAAAGGCGUGCUAAUGCCGGAUGAGACCACGGGAGCCUCGGCUCCUGCGGGAAAAGGUGGCCUCUGUACACAAGCUAUCGCUUCAGGAUGAGCCCGCGGCCCAUCAGCUCGUUGGCGGGGUAAUGGCCCACCAAGGCUACGACGGGUAGCUGGUCUGAGAGGACGAUCAGCCACACUGGAACUGAGACACGGUCCAGACUCCUACGGGAGGCAGCAGUGGGGAAUCUUGCGCAAUGGGCGAAAGCCUGACGCAGCAACGCCGCGUGUGUGAUGAAGGUCUUCGGAUCGUAAAGCACUGUCGCGAGGGACGAAUAAGGGGCGGGCUAACAUCCCGUUCCGAUGACGGUACCUCGAGAGGAAGCACCGGCUAACUCUGUGCCAGCAGCCGCGGUAAUACAGAGGGUGCAAGCGUUGUUCGGAAUUAUUGGGCGUAAAGCGCGUGUAGGCGGCCAUGCAAGUCGGGUGUGAAAGCCCUCGGCUUAACCGAGGAAGUGCGCCCGAAACUACAUGGCUUGAGUACCGGAGAGGGUGGCGGAAUUCCCGGUGUAGAGGUGAAAUUCGUAGAUAUCGGGAGGAACACCAGCGGCGAAGGCGGCCACCUGGACGGAUACUGACGCUGAGACGCGAAAGCGUGGGGAGCAAACAGGAUUAGAUACCCUGGUAGUCCACGCUGUAAACGAUGAGUGCUAGGUGUUGCGGGUGUUGACCCCUGCAGUGCCGCAGCUAACGCAUUAAGCACUCCGCCUGGGAAGUACGGCCGCAAGGCUA
rnacentral:rRNA from 1 species